UGUAAUUUAAAUUCCUCUUGUUUAUGCUAACUCCUAUUUUCUCUUGUCUUUUCCUCAAUAGUUCUACAAUCUGCCUUUCCCAGGGUUCAGCUCAAGUCCUGAGGAGCAGUGGUAAACCCCAGACAACCUUCAAGGUGGUUACUCUGGACCUAUUUGAGAAGACUGCACAUACCCACCCCAUAGAUGAACUUUGGCUGUGGGACUUGCAUUUGGCAAAUGGAAUGUGAGCAGAAUUGUUGCAGGCUAUGUCUGAGCAGAAGCCUUCAAAGAAAUCACCCAGUUGUGUUGCUCCUUUCCUUCUUUUGCAAGAAUAAUAUGUUCCAGGGAGGGGCUUCUCCUUCAGCCUGGAUCUCAGAAUGAAGAAGAUCCAUGGUAAAGAACUGCAGCCAGUGAGAAGGAAACAUAAGAAGAUGGAAUGCCUGAAAGUGAAAGUAUAAAAAAAAUGAAAGAAUGAGAAAAGACAUGGUGGAAAAAUACCAAAAGAAAACUCUGGUAACCAUUGAAAGCAAAAGGUCCCCAAGGAGGCCAUGGCAUAGCACAAGUAUCCAGUGACCAGGAGCUGCUGUUACCAAUUUGUCACUGUAUCCUGACUUGGCUGGGGGGUCCUGGCCCCGUGCCCCCUUUCCAGCCCUUCAACAACUCCUGAGAUUUCUCCUUACCCACAGUGCCCUCCCAGGAGAACCAAUGGGAAAAUGAGAGUGUGGGGCCUUUGCUAGUUAAAUGUGCUCACCCUCAAAAUACACAGCGUGGGUCAUUGUGGGUUAUCUACUCAAUUGGCAAGACUGAACAUGUGCUAUAUGUGAAAUAGCCAGAAAUGUGAAAUAGCUAAAUGUGAAAUAGCCAGAAAAUAAGAAAGUUCAUCUUUGAUGAACUUUUGAAGAAUUUUGCAAUCAAAAAUAUCUAAGGGAAAAACUAUUUUUAUUUCAGUAAAUCUUUAAGUCUUGUCUUCUUAAAUUUGGUGUUAUUUAUUUUGAAAGUUGCAUUAAUUAUUUUCAUGCCUAGCAUCUCUUAGUGUGUUCUCUGACCCCACAUAUCACAGAAACAGCACACAGUCAGGAGUCAUUGUAGAGGAAUGACUAGCACCUAGGUGUCCUAGCUGGUUGUACGAACUUGUUCAAAUUGUGUAACUUCAUACUCUGGUUUCUCUUCAGAUCGCAUAAAUCUUUUGCCUUUUACAAAUUGUGUGUAACUUCUUUGGACUGUCGUUUCUUAAUGUGUCAAAUAAAAAUUGAUCUCAAUGUUUAAAAUCACUUUCAGUUCUAAAAGUCCAUGAUGCUACAACUUUACAGUAAUUUAAAUUCCUAUACAUGAAGCAGCCGAGGUUUAAAAAUUAUAAUUAACUUAUUACUGUCAUC